AUUGAACGCUGGCGGCAGGCCUAACACAUGCAAGUCGAGCGGAGCGGCGGACGGGUGAGUAAUGCUUAGGAAUCUGCCUGGUAGUGGGGGAUAACGUCCGGAACCGGGCGCUAAUACCGCAUCCUAUCAGAUGAGCCUAGGUCGGAUUAGCUAGUGGGUGGGGUAAAGGCCUACCAAGGCGACGAUCCGUAACUGGUCUGAGAGGAUGAUCAGUCACACUGGAACUGAGACACGGUCCAGACUCCUACGGGAGGCAGCAGUGGGGAAUAUUGGACAAUGGGCGAAAGCCUGAUCCAGCCAUGCCGCGUGUGUGAAGAAGGCCUUCGGGUUGUAAAGCACUUUCAGCGGGGAGGCGUUACCCGCAGAAGAAGCACCGGCUAACUCCGUGCCAGCAGCCGCGGUAAUUC
rnacentral:rRNA from 1 species